AAGAGACAUGAGAAGAAGGCAGCUCGGACAGGUGGGGGGAAAUGGACUGUUAGCAGGCGUGAAGAGCGAAGCACUUCUAACAUGAUGACCACACUGGUUUUUCUUUGCGUCGUUCCUGUCCCAAAGAGUGGGCAUUAAGUGCAGUCAUGAGAAGUCCUAGUGUCGUUGAAACGUUUCUACAUUGAGGCAACUUGGACUCAAGAUGAACAAGCCUCGUGCAAUAUGACCUGAGUCACUAAUGGCCUCUACAGUUACAUGUACCAUCAGUGAUUUUACAAGCCCCUUGUCACGUUGUCGGCUGUUUUGUCAGCUGAGGGUUCAUAGCGCUUCAG
ensembl:lncRNA